rnacentral:rRNA from 1 species
GGAUUAGUACGUUGGUCAUGCCUUCGGUAUGUACUGAUGUUACUGGUCCUUCCCUUCUGACGAACCGUCAUGUCAUUUAUUUGGUGUGGCGGGGAAUCAGGACUGUUACUUUGAAAAAAUUAGAGUGUUUAAAGCAGGCUCGCGCUUGAAUACAUUAGCAUGGAAUAAUGAAAUAGGACGUUUGAUCUUAUUUUGUUGGUUUCUAGGAUCGACGUA